AAACGGCCGCGGUACCCUAACCGUGCAAAGGUAGCAUAAUCAUUUGCCUUUUAAUUGGAGGCUGGUAUGAAUGGUUUGACGAGAGCUAUGCUGUCUCUUUCGAAAUAUUUAAAAAUUAACUUUUAGGUAAAGAGGCCUAAAUUCGUUUAAGGGACAAGAAGACCCUGUUGAGCUUUAGUGAUCCUAUAAAUUGAUGGGCAAUUUAUUGGUUGUUGUGUAUUUGUGUAUUAUAUAUAACGUAAGUUUAAAGGUAAUCUUUAGUUGGGGCGACUGAGGAACAUGGAAAGCUUGCUUGAAUUUAAAAGCAUGUUGGGCAAUUAAUUUGUUGAUGCAUUCUGCGUUAAUUUUGAUCCAAUCUAUUUUGAUUAAGAGAAAAAGUUACCACAGGGAUAACAGCGUAAUCUUUCUGGAGAGAUCUAAUCGAAAGAAGGGUUUGCGACCUCC
rnacentral:rRNA from 1 species